rnacentral:rRNA from 1 species
AUUGAACGCUGGCGGCAGGCCUAACACAUGCAAGUCGAACGAGUGGCGGACGGGUGAGAAAUGUCUGGGAAACAUCCCGAUGGAGGGGGAUAAAUACGGGAAACGGUAGCUAUUACCGCAUACCAUCGGAUGUGCCCAGAUGGGAUUAGCUAGUAGGUGGGGUAACGGCUCACCUAGGCGACGAUCCCUAGCUGGUCUGAGAGGAUGACCAGCCACACUGGAACUGAGACACGGUCCAGACUCCUACGGGAGGCAGCAGUGGGGAAUAUUGCACAAUGGGCGCAAGCCUGAUGCAGCCAUGCCGCGUGUAUGAAGAAGGCCUUCGGGUUGUAAAGUACUUUCAGCGAGGAGGCGUUACUCGCAGAAGAAGCACCGGCUAACUCCGUGCCAGCAGCCGCGGUAAUUC